CGCGGGAGUCGGGCGGACGGCGCUCUCGCCAACCCGGUCAGGUCCGGAAGGAAGCAGCCGUAACGAGUUCAAGCUCCGGGUCGUCCCGGCUCCCACCCUG
rnacentral:SRP_RNA from 1 species